ACGGAAUAGAUACCCAGGUAGUCCACGCCCUAAACGAUGGAUACUCGACAUACGCGAUACACAGUGUGUGUCUGAGCGAAAGCAUUAAGUAUCCCACCUGGGAAGUACGACCGCAAGGUUGAAACUCAAAGGAAUUGGCGGGGGUCCGCACAAGCGGCGGAGCAUGUGGUUUAAUUCGAUGAUACGCGAGGAACCUUACCUGGGCUAGAAUGCCAGUGGACCGUGGGUGAAAGCUCACUUUGUAGCAAUACACCGCUGGUAAGGUGCUGCAUGGCUGUCGUCAGCUCGCGCCGUGAGGUGUUGGGUUAAGUCCCGCAACGAGCGCAACCCCUAUCACUAGUUGCCAUCAGGUCAUGCUGGGAACUCUAGUGAAACUGCCGUCGUAAGACGCGAGGAAGGAGGGGAUGAUGUCAAGUCAUCAUGGCCUUUAUGCCCAGGGCUACACACGUGCUACAAUGGGAAGGACAAAGAGCUGCCACCUGGUGACA
rnacentral:rRNA from 1 species